AAGCCAUGGUGUGGGCAUGCUCUUAAUAGUUCUUUAUAUCUCUCCCAGGCUUCGAACAACGACUCUCCUUGGAGUUGGGUAAAUCUAGUUAUAAGGUUUCGAAGAAG